GUAGGGGGCAAGCGUUAUCCGGAUUUACUGGGUGUAAAGGGAGCGUAGACGGAUGGACAAGUCUGAUGUGAAAGGCUGGGGCUCAACCCCGGGACUGCAUUGGAAACUGCCCGUCUUGAGUGCCGGAGAGGUAAGCGGAAUUCCUAGUGUAGCGGUGAAAUGCGUAGAUAUUAGGAGGAACACCAGUGGCGAAGGCGGCUUACUGGACGGUAACUGACGUUGAGGCUCGAAAGCGUGGGGAGCAAACAGGAUUAGAUACCCUGGUAGUCCACGCGGUAAACGAUGAAUGCUAGGUGUCGGGGAGCAAAGCUCUUCGGUGCCGCCGCAAACGCAUUAAGCAUUCCACCUGGGGAGUACGUUCGCAAGAAUG
rnacentral:rRNA from 1 species